rnacentral:rRNA from 1 species
AGUGAACGCUGGCGGUAGGCCUAACACAUGCAAGUCGAACGGCAGCACAGUAAGAGCUUGCUCUUACGGGUGGCGAGUGGCGGACGGGUGAGGAAUACAUCGGAAUCUACUUUUUCGUGGGGGAUAACGUAGGGAAACUUACGCUAAUACCGCAUACGACCUACGGGUGAAAGCAGGGGAUCUUCGGACCUUGCGCGAUUGAAUGAGCCGAUGUCGGAUUAGCUAGUUGGCGGGGUAAAGGCCCACCAAGGCGACGAUCCGUAGCUGGUCUGAGAGGAUGAUCAGCCACACUGGAACUGAGACACGGUCCAGACUCCUACGGGAGGCAGCAGUGGGGAAUAUUGGACAAUGGGGGCAAGCCUGAUCCAGCCAUACCGCGUGGGUGAAGAAGGCCUUCGGGUUGUAAAGCCCUUUUGUUGGGAAAGAAAAGCAGCAGGUUAAUACCCCGCUGUUCUGACGGUACCCGAAGAAUAAGCACCGGCUAACUUCGUG